rnacentral:rRNA from 1 species
CAGUCGCCGCGGGAAUACGUAGGGAGCAAGCGUUGUUCGGAUUUACUGGGCGUAAAGCGUGCGCAGGCGGUUGUGUAAGACAGGUGUGAAAUCCCCGAGCUUAACUUGGGAACUGCAUUUGUGACUGCACGGCUAGAGUGUGUCAGAGGGGGGUAGAAUUCCACGUGUAGCAGUGAAAUGCGUAGAUAUGUGGAGGAAUACCGAUGGCGAAGGCAGCCCCCUGGGAUAACACUGACGCUGAGGCACGAAAGCGUGGGGAGCAAACAGGAUUAGAUACCCGCGUAGUCCCUGUCUCUUAUAC